CAGCCGUAAACGAUGUGCGUUAGGUGUAUCGGUGACCACGAGUUACCGAGGUGCCGAAGGGAAACCGUGAAACGUGCCGCCUGGGAAGUACGGUCGCAAGGCUGAAACUUAAAGGAAUUGGCGGGGGAGCACCACAACAGGUGGAGCCUGCGGUUUAAUUGGACUCAACGCCGGGAAGCUCACCGGAUAGGACAGCAGAAUGAUUGCCGGGCUGAAGACUCUGCAUGACUAGCUGAGAGGAGGUGCAUGGCGUAGACGUCU
rnacentral:rRNA from 1 species